rnacentral:rRNA from 1 species
UACAGAGGGGGCAAGCGUUGUUCGGAAUUACUGGGCGUAAAGGGCGCGUAGGCGGCCUUCUAAGUCAGACGUGAAAUCCCCAGGCUUAACUUGGGAACUGCGUCUGAUACUGGGAGGCUCGAGUGCGGGAGAGGGAUGUGGAAUUCCAGGUGUAGCGGUGAAAUGCGUAGAUAUCUGGAGGAACACCGGUGGCGAAGGCGGCAUCCUGGACCGACACUGACGCUGAGGCGCGAAAGCUAGGGGAGCAAACGGG